UAAAGACCUCCUUCUUAGUUAGUUAUCUCUUUACAGACCUUGUCUCCAAAUACAGCCACGUUUUGAGGUCCUGGGGUUAGGACUUCGGCAGGAACUUGGAGACGCAACUCAGACCGAAGCCAGCCCCAGCUGAGCACAGAGCUCGUGACAUGAUGCGCCAUGCUGCCCUGAGGUUCCCAACCGGGUCUCUGCUGAGCUCCAGGUCUGUACGCGGUGGCUGGCCUGCAUCUCACCUGGCGGCCGUGGGGCACCUUCAACUGACCUGACUCCAGCUCCCUCUUCCCACUCCUGCCCCACCUCAUCCAUCCCUGGCCCUGGCUCUCCCUCAGCAAACAGCCCCUCCUCCUCUGCUGUACACACACCCUCCGGCUCUGCUCCCAAACCAGAAACCUGGGCCUCGCCCUGGACUUCCCUCUGUCUCCCUCCCUCUGUCCCUCUCUUCCCUCACAUCUAGCCAAUCCCAAAUCCUACGGAGCCUUCCUUGUUAGAAUCAGUACAGUC
rnacentral:lncRNA from 10 species